rnacentral:rRNA from 1 species
NNNGACCUCAGAUCGGACGAGACCACCCGCUGAAUUUAAGCAUAUCACUAAGCGGAGGAAAAGAAACUAACCAGGAUUCCCUCAGUAGCGGCGAGUGAAGCGGGAAGAGCCCAUCGCCGAAUCCCAGCGCCUUCGGUCCUGGGACCUGUGGCGUGAGGCGGCUUCGGGCGCGCGAGUCCACGACGCCGAGGUCCUCCUGAUCGGGGCACCUUACCCAGAGCGGGUGUCACCCGUUCGGGCGUCGGGUCUCAAGGGCCUGGAGCCACCAAGAGUCGGGUAGUUUUGGAAUGCUGCCCAAAGAAGGGUGGUGAACUCCAUCCAAGGCUAAAUACUGGCACGAGACCGAUAGCAGACAAGUACCGUGAGGGAAAGU